GACGAACGCUGGCGGCGUGCCUAAUACAUGCAAGUCGAGCGGAUCUUCUCCUUCGGGAGAAGGUUAGCGGCGGACGGGUGAGUAACACGUAGGCAACCUGCCCCUAAGACCGGGAUAACAUUCGGAAACGAAUGCUAAGACCGGAUACGCAUUCCUGCCGCAUGGCGGGGAUGGGAAACACGGUGCAAGCUGUGGUUUAGGGAUGGGCCUGCGGCGCAUUAGCUAGUUGGUGAGGUAACGGCUCACCAAGGCGACGAUGCGUAGCCGACCGGAGAGGGUGAACGGCCACACUGGGACUGAGACACGGCCCAGACUCCUACGGGAGGCAGCAGUAGGGAAUCUUCCACAAUGGGCGAAAGCCUGAUGGAGCAACGCCGCGUGAGUGAGGAAGGCUUUCGGGUCGUAAAGCUCUGUUGCCAGGGAAGAAUAAGGGCGAGUUAACUGCUCGUCCGAUGACGGUACCUGAGAAGAAAGCCCCGGCUAACUACGUGCCAGCAGCCGCCGUAACAC
rnacentral:rRNA from 1 species